rnacentral:rRNA from 1 species
GAUCCUGGCUCAGGAUGAACGCUGGCGGCGUGCUUAACACAUGCAAGUCGAACGGGAAAUAUUUCAUUGAGACUUCGGUGGAUUUGAUCUAUUUCUAGUGGCGGACGGGUGAGUAACGCGUGGGUAACCUGCCUUAUACAGGGGGAUAACAGGUCAGAAAUGGCUGCUAAUACCGCAUAAGUCGCACAGAGCUGGCAUGGCUCAGUGUGAAAAACUCCGGUGGUAUAAGAUGGACCCG